rnacentral:rRNA from 1 species
UACGGAGGGGCCUAGCGUUGUUCGGAAUUACUGGGCGUAAAGCGCACGUAGGCGGCUUUGUAAGUCAGGGGUGAAAUCCCGGGGCUCAACCUCGGAACUGCCUUUGAUACUGCAAAUCUCGAGUCCGGAAGAGGUGAGUGGAAUUCCUAGUGUAGAGGUGAAAUUCGUAGAUAUUAGGAAGAACACCAGUGGCGAAGGCGGCUCACUGGUCCGGUACUGACGCUGAGGUGCGAAAGCGUGGGGAGCAAACAGG